UGUUGGGGAACACCGUGGCCUCACAUGUAUUUUGGAAUGGAUGGGUAGGCAUUCUCUGAGCAUCUUCAUUCUUGUGCCAUCCAACCUUGCUGUCAUUGUUCUUCAAGGAUUUUACUGGAGAAAUCCCAAUAACAACAUUGUUCAUUGGGUCUUAUCCAUUCUUGUUCACAAGUAACUUGAAAAGCCUCGAUGUCGACCAGCAUGCAUUCUCACAGUUACCGUUAAAUACAUUGUAAUUUUGUUGUAUCACUUGCCAUUUAUGAGUUAAAUAUCUGAAUGUUAAAAUAUUGAUGUAAUGGGCUUCUUUUUUUAA